rnacentral:rRNA from 1 species
GCAGCAGCCGCGGUAAUACAGAGGGUGCGAGCGUUAAUCGGAUUUACUGGGCGUAAAGCGUGCGUAGGCGGCUAAUUAAGUCGGAUGUGAAAUCCCCGAGCUUAACUUGGGAAUUGCAUUCGAUACUGGUUAGCUAGAGUGUGGGAGAGGAUGGUAGAAUUCCAGGUGUAGCGGUGAAAUGCGUAGAGAUCUGGAGGAAUACCGAUGGCGAAGGCAGCCAUCUGGCCUAACACUGACGCUGAGGUACGAAAGCAUGGGGAGCAAACAGGAUUAGAGACCCCCGUAGUCCCUGUCUCUUAUAC